rnacentral:rRNA from 1 species
CGAGGUGGAGCAAAUCCCUAAAAGCCAUCCCAGUUCGGAUUGCAGGCUGAAACCCGCCUGUAUGAAGUUGGAAUCGCUAGUAAUCGCGGAUCAGCAUGCCGCGGUGAAUACGUUCCCGGGCCUUGUACACACCGCCCGUCACACCAUGAGAGUCGGGAACACCCGAAGUCCGUAGCCUAACCGCAAGGGGGGCGCGGCUGAAGGUGGGUUCGAUAAUUGGGGUGAAGUCGUAACAAGGUAAC